rnacentral:rRNA from 1 species
UACGUAGGGUGCAAGCGUUAAUCGGAAUUACUGGGCGUAAAGCGUGCGCAGGCGGUUCGCUAAGACCGAUGUGAAAUCCCCGGGCUUAACCUGGGAACUGCAUUGGUGACUGGCGGGCUAGAGUAUGGCAGAGGGGGGUAGAAUUCCACGUGUAGCAGUGAAAUGCGUAGAGAUGUGGAGGAAUACCGAUGGCGAAGGCAGCCCCCUGGGCCAAUACUGACGCUCAUGCACGAAAGCGCGGGGAGCAAACAGG